rnacentral:rRNA from 1 species
UGGGGAAUAUUGGACAAUGGGCGAAAGCCUGAUCCAGCCAUGCCGCGUGUGUGAAGAAGGUCUUCGGAUUGUAAAGCACUUUAAGUUGGGAGGAAGGGCAGUAAGCGAAUACCUUGCUGUUUUGACGUUACCGACAGAAUAAGCACCGGCUAACUCUGUGCCAGCAGCCGCGGUAAUACAGAGGGUGCAAGCGUUAAUCGGCAUUACUGGGCGUAAAGCGCGCGUAGGUGGUUCGUUAAGUUGAAUGUGAAAGCCCCGGGCUCAACCUGGGAACUGCAUCCAAAACUGGCGGGCUAGAGUAGGGCAGAGGGUGGUGGAAUUUCCUGUGUAGCGGUGAAAUGCGUAGCUAUAGGAAGGAACACCAGUGGCGAAGGCGACCACCUGGGCUCAUACUGACACUGAGGUGCGAAAGCGUGGGGAGCAAACAGG